GCCUGUUAUUUCAUUAUUUAUAUAAUUGUUUGAUCAUUGAAUAAAUCAAUAGUUCUAGUAAUGCAUUCUGUUUUUUAACUUAACUGCUAUUGUACAAGGACUUAACAUAAUACUUAUGAUAUAAUGAUGAGAAGGCCUUGAAGGUCAUAAUAACUUUGAUUUUUUUUUAAAACUUUUUCGUAAGACUUUAUUAUUUGUUUUGGUUUUUUUUUUUUGGGGGGGGGGUGGAUUUUUUUUUCGUUUAGUACACACCAAGCUUCUUCCAUCCAUAGUUGGAUAGUGAUAAAUCUACAAAAUAUCAAAACCGUAUGGAUGACAAAUUAACAUAAGAAAAGUACAAUAUCAGCGUAAAUCAUAUAGAGAAAGGUCGUUGCUACGCAAUGGAUACGGUUGCUAGGUAGUUU
rnacentral:lncRNA from 1 species